rnacentral:rRNA from 1 species
CCUUUGUACACACCGCCCGUCGCUACUACCGAUUGAAUGGCUCAGUGAGGCCUUGGGACUGGCUCAGAGAGGUGGGCAACUACCACCCAGGGCCGGAAAGCUCUCCAAACUCGGUCAUUUAGAGG